GAGUUUGAUCCUGGCUCAGGAUGAACGCUAGCUACAGGCUUAACACAUGCAAGUCGAGGGGCAUCAGGAAGAAAGCUUGCUUUCUUUGCUGGCGACCGGCGCACGGGUGAGUAACGCGUGAGCAACCUGCCCAUAAGAGGGGGAUAACAGCUGGAAACGGCUGCUAAUACCGCAUAAGACCACAUUGCCACAUGGCAAAGGGGUCAAAGAUUUAUCGCUUAUGGAUGGGCUCGCGUCUGAUUAGCUAGUUGGUAGGUAACGGCCUACCAAGGCAACGAUCAGUAGCCGACCUGAGAGGGUGAUCGGCCACACUGGAACUGAGACACGGUCCAGACUCCUACGGGAGGCAGCAGUGGGGAAUAUUGGGCAAUGGGGGAAACCCUGACCCAGCAACGCCGCGUGAGGGAGAAGGCUUUCGAGUUGUAAACCUCUGUCCUAU
rnacentral:rRNA from 1 species